rnacentral:rRNA from 1 species
CGCUGGCGGCGUGCUUAACACAUGCAAGUCGAACGGAAAGGCCCAGCUUGCUGGGUACUCGAGUGGCGAACGGGCGAGUAACACGUGGGUGAUCUGCCCCAAACUUCGGGAUAAGCCUGGGAAACUGGGUCUAAUACCGGAUAUGACCUGCUCCUGCAUGGGGGUUGGUGGAAAGCUUUUGCGGUUUGGGAUGGGCCCGCGGCCUAUCAGCUUGUUGGUGGGGUAAUGGCCUACCAAGGCGACGACGGGUAGCCGACCUGAGAGGGUGUUCGGCCACACUGGGACUGAGACACGGCCCAGACUCCUACGGGAGGCAGCAGUGGGGAAUAUUGCACAAUGGGCGCAAGCCUGAUGCAGCGACGCCGCGUGAGGGAUGACGGCCUUCGGGUUGUAAACCUCUUUCGCCAGGGACGAAGCGCAAGUGACGGUACCUGGAGAAGAAGCACCGGCCAACUACGUG